AGAGUUUGAUCCUGGCUCAGAACGAACGCUGGCGGCGUGCCUAACACAUGCAAGUCGAACGUGAUCCAGAGCUUGCUCUGGUGAAAGUGGCGCACGGGUGAGUAACGCGUGGAUAACCUACCCUGGUAUCCGGGAUAACAUUCCGAAAGGGGUGCUGAUACCGGAUAAGCCCACGGGCUCUUUGGAGCUUGCGGGAAAAGGUGGCCUCUAUUUAUAAGCUACUGUAUCAGGAUGGGUCCGCGUACCAUUAGCUAGUUGGCGGUGUAACGGACCACCAAGGCGACGAUGGUUAGCUGGUCUGAGAGGAUGAUCAGCCACACUGGAACUGAGACACGGUCCAGACUCCUACGGGAGGCAGCAGUGGGGAAUUUUGCGCAAUGGGGGAAACCCUGACGCAGCAACGCCGCGUGAGUGAUGGAGGCCUUUGGGUCGUAAAGCUCUGUCAGAGGGGAAGAAAUGAUAUAGUGCUAAUACCACUUUAUCUUGACGGUACCCUCAAAGGAAGCACCGGCUAACUCCGUGCCAGCAGCCGCGGUACUAC
rnacentral:rRNA from 1 species